rnacentral:rRNA from 1 species
AACGAACGCUGGCGGCGUGCCUAAUACAUGCAAGUCGAACGCAGUGGCGGAAUGUCGAGUAACAUGUGGGAACCUACCCAUCAGAGGUGGAUAACACUGCGAAACAGGUGCUAAUACCGCAUACUGAUGGCUGGACGCGCGGGUCAUUAGCUAGUUGGUGAGGUAACGGCUCACCAGGGCCACGAUGCAUAGCGGGUCUGAGAGGAGGAUCGGCCACACUGGAACUGAGACACGGGCCAGACGCCUACGGGAGGCAGCAGUGGGGAAUAUUGGACAAUGGGCGAAAGCCUGAUGCAGCCAUGCCGCGUGUGUGAAGAAGGUCUUCGGAUUGUAAAGCACUUUCAGUUGGGAGGCGUUACCAACAGAAUAAGCACCGGCUAACUCCGUGCCAGCAGCCGCGGUAAUUC